rnacentral:lncRNA from 1 species
GUGUACUGAUGUCCCUGCGCUGCCACAUAUGUCUGUUAAGGACUUACUUGGGUACCGUGGGUUCAGAAGGUCCUGGAAAUCUACUCAGGAUCCUGAGCAGCGUGGACAGAAAAGUUGCUUUAAAAGAAAGAGCAGUAAACAUUAUUGGCCCUGAAGAGCUCCAGAGACCAGCACCCAGCAGUUUGAUGGCAUCCAGCCCAAGUCAAAUGCAGAGGAGUGCAAGAUAUCUGGCCAUACACUAGAGACUCGAAGAAUCCAGGUGAGGCUCUGGAUUCCUCAGCAAUGUCCCGCACAAGUCAGCCAGAGGCCUAGAGUCCACGGCGAGGUCUCAUGCAAGUCCAUAUGGAGGAUCUGCACCAAGAAGCCCCAGCGACCAGUGGUGGAAGCUAGAAAGCCUGUGCCGGCAGGGUGAAGGAUCUGCACCAGAGCCAGGAAGCGACGGUCAAGGUGACGACCAGAGCUGCCCUGACGAGAACAGCCAUCCCCAGUGACAGCGAGGCCCCGAGCUCCUCCCUCUGACUAUGAGAACGGCCAAGUUUGCAGCAGGAAAACCAGCCACGGCAACCUUCUCCAAGAAAAUCAACAGCAAAUGAUCUUCCCCUCCCGUUCUCUUUUUAUGACAUUGGCAACAAUCCUCAGGUGGGUCUUCCAUGCCCAGAGCCACGGUGACUCAGUUCAGCUGGCGUUCCAAGUUAACCAUUAGUUAAUCUACCACAAUCCUUCAACUGAGUGGGAACACCACUAAGAUGAAUCCCCAACCUUUUUAAAAUUUAUUUGAUUUUUGUGACAGGGCCUUGCUACUUUGCUAAACUGCCCAGGCUGACAAUGGCUGGCUCCUGUUCCUCGCCUGGAAUCACCUGGAGGCAGGUCUACACUGGCUCCUGCCUUCCUAGAGGGACAGAGCCCCAGAGCACCAUGCCCUCCCAACUUGGCUGUCUUCCUUCCCUGCCUCCAACUCACCUCUCCACAACACUCAAGUUCUUCCUUCAGAAUCAUCGGGCAGGAUAGGGACCAAGACGUGGGACAAAAAACACAAAACAAAUGACAUCUGCCCCAACUGUGACAUUUCACAUAUUUACACUGGGCAUAUUCACGUUUUUAGUGCAGCUGGGAACACAUGUGCGAAUGGGCACAGUACAGCUGAGGCAGAUGGAGGGACAAACAGAUGGAUGAAUAGUCAGGGGUCACCUUCUUCCUCCAAGAAAAUCUCAAAAGUCCUCAUCUGAAGUUCUUCCUUGAUAAGGCCCCACCAACUGAUACUUCCGGCGUAAAUCUCCUCUUAUCCCUGACUGAGGAUCAGCGGUAACAUCUGAGUCUUGCUUUAAGGACACUUGGGAAAUACGCAUUUUAGGGGGUGAAGCUGAAGCCUGAGCAAUGCUCCCAUAGGCACUCUCGGAGAAGGGUGGGCCAGCCAGCGUGGCCAGGAGAACAUGCAGAGUCUGUAUAUACCGGCCAAAAACCAGACUGGCAGCUGGACAGGCCAACAGGCACAUGUCAACCUGUGGAGACGUUACUCAGAUGACAACAGAAAGUCAGGGCAGACACCACCAGGGCCCAGCUUUAGGUUCAGUGUGAGGGAUAGAAAAUCAAAAAUAAAAGAUGUUUAUUUCUCUCAGGUAAAAUCCAUAGGUAAGAACCCCAGAAUUGUCACGGCUGUCCAGAGUAUUGGGACCCCAGGUUAAGCCCUGCUGUCUGUUCGAGGACAGCCACUUCCUUGUUUAAGACUGACUCAUGGGUCCAACAUGGCUGCCGGGCAGAGGGGGUCUGGGAAUAAGGAUGUCAGGUAAAUGCUAGCUCAUAACCAGCUAUAUCCAAAUUCCAGGCAAACAAUAUUUUUUCUGGUAUAACUAUGUCCCUGUUAUUGCCUGAGAUAUACUAACAAAAAUAUUUCUGGUGUAUCCAAAAUUCAAAUUUAACUGGCAUCCUAUGUUUUUAUUUUGUAAAUCUGGCCACCAUAACUGGAGGAAAAAGUGAGGGAGAGAGAGAGAGGACCCCAAGGGAAGAGACACAAAGAUGAGGAAACAAGGAGUGGGAGAGGGAGAGAGAGAGAAUCUGAGGAAGAGAUCAACAAACAGAGAUGGCCACAAGCUACGUCAUACAGGAGGCGCAGACAAGAGGCAGAACUGGAGAAGACCCACACGCCUACUGUUGUGUCCUGGCCACAGAGCCGUGAUUCUCCACUCGCAAAGAAUUCACUCUGCCGUGGGAGGAGAGAGCCAAGAAGGUAAGUGAGCAAAUACACUGCAGAAACACACCUGUCCUUUUAAAGAUGGAACCUAAUCAUCCUUCCUUGACCGUGGGGUGGACUGAGUCACUGACUUCUAAUUCAACUCUAUGUACAUCUGAAGAAAACUGUCUUUUGUCUAUAACUUUAUCAAAUCUUGGUCACCAUCGUAAGACCACAUUACCAAUAUUUUUCUCUACCAUGCUGAGUCACCUGGACACUACCCUCAAUCUGUCUGCAGGGGGAGCCACUUUGGCAACUAGGUCGGUCGGUUGGUCUGACUUUCCCUGAUCACUGACUAUGGGACAAGUGAGCUUCCAUGUCUUGAGCACACUCAAGUAGCUCCAUGGACAGGGAGCAGCUGAGACCUCCCACCAAUGCCACACAACCCAGCCUCUCUGGAAGCCCAACCUCCAUGCCCAAGGUGGCCUUCAGGUGACCACACCCCCAGCUGACACACCAUUACAAUUACCCGAGAGACUCCGUGCCAGAGCCUCCACACUGCCCGAGUUCUCAACCCACAGAAAUUGUGGUAACAAAUGCCUGAUUUUAAACCAUAAAGUGUUCAUUACACAGCAGUAGCUAUCCACAGAUAAAGAAACACCACCCUUUCAAGUUGAGUUAAGUGCAGCUAAUAAAUCAAGAUGAUGUGGAGGCAGGUGGAAGGGGCAAGAGGGUAAGAUGAGGUUCGUGAGGGACUCCCUUGUGGUGACACGGAGCUGAGAACGCAGUGGGGGGGUGGCCUGCUGUCCAACACCAGCAGAAACUGCUCAGGGCCAAUGGUGACUAUUUUUUUUUAUUAGUCCAUAUUUGCCAUACAUGGUGCUCACAUUCAUCAUAGGGAAUUUGUACCUGUACAUAAUAUAUCUUAAUUCUUUUUUCCCAUUUACCUCCCCCUCCCUUUAACCCCUUUCCCUCCCCAUUUACAGCUUUGUUUUCAUUUUUUCCUUGUUUGUAAAUCCUUUUCCCCCUCCUUCCCUUCCCUCUGCCCCUCCUUGUUCCCUUUUCCAUUUGAACAUGUUCUUCCUACUUCCCAACAUCUAUCCUCCAUUUUGUUCCUUGUUUACCCUUAGUUUCUCACACAAGAGAAAUAAUGUGAUAUUUAAGCUUGUAUGACUUAUUUAUUUCACUUAAAACUAUGGCCUUGAGGUGCAUCUGUUUAACGACUCAAGUCUAUGCUUCUUUAUGGCAGAGUAGUACUCCACUGUAUAUAAACACCACAUGUUUAUUCAUUCAUUUAUUGAUGGGCAGAUGGGCUAUUAGAUUUAGCUAUUAUAUACAUUGUGCUACUAUAAACAUGGGUGUGCUAUAUCACUGUGGUAUGAUGCUUUUAACUCUUUCAGGAAGAUACCUAGAAGGGGAAUAGCUGGGUCAAAUGGAAUGUCUACUUUUAGUUUUUUGAGGAAUCUCCAUACUGAUUUCCAUAUAGGUUGUACCAAUUUACACUCCCAUCAACAGUAGAGAAGGGUUCCUUUUUCCCCACAGCCCCACCAGCAUUCGUUCUUGAUUUCUUGAUGGUAGCCAUUCUUUCUGGAGUCUCAGUGUUGUUUUCAUUUGCAUUUCUCAAAUGAUGUUGAACAGUUUUUCGUGUAUUUAUUUACUUCUUCAUCUGAGAAGUGUCUAUCCACUUCAGAUACCUAUUUUUGGAUUGAGUCUUUAAAUUUGGGAGGUCUGAUUUUUUUUUAGUUCUUCAUAUAUUCUAGAUGUUAGUCCUUUGAGGAGACUGACAAAAAUUUUUCCUACACUGUGGGUUGUCUCUUCACUCUGUUGGUGGUUGAUUUUGCUGUGGAAAAGCUUUUUAAUUUGAUGUGGUCUCAGUUGUUGAUUCUUUGUAAUAUUUUCUGUGUGCUCAGGGUUUUGUUCAUAAAGUUUUUGUUUACCCCAUGUCUUCAGAGUUUUACCUAUUCUAUCUUUCAGCAGAUUUAGUGUUUUCUGUUUUUAUAUUUAGAUCUUUGAUGCAUUUUGAUUUUAGUUUAGUGCAUGGUGAGAGAUAUGG